rnacentral:rRNA from 1 species
AAAUGAAUUGACGGGGGCCCGCACAAGCAGUGGAUCAUGUGGUUUAAUUCGAAGCAACGCGCAAAACCUUACCUGGAUUUGACAUCCUCGGACCGCAGCAGAAAUGUUGUUUUCGUAGCAAUACGACCGAGAGACAGGUGUUGCAUGGCUGUCGUCAGCUCGUGUGGUGACAUGUUGGGUUAAGUCCCGCAACGAGCGCAACCCCUAUCUUUAGUUGCCAGCCUUAAGUUGGGCACUCUAGAGAGACUGCCGUGGUGAACACGGAGGAAGGUGGGGAUGACGUCAAGUCCUCAUGGCCUUUAUAUCCAGGGCUACACACGUGAUACAAUGGUCGGUACAGAGGGAAGCGAAAGGGUGACCUGGAGCCAAUCUCAAAAAGCCGAUCUCAGUUCGGAUUGAAGUCUGCAAUUCGACUUCAUGAAGGUGGAAUUGCUAGUAAUCGCGGAUCAGCACGCCGCGGUGAAUACGUUCCCGGGCCUUGUACACACCGCCCGU